AAAGCCAGAAGGUACGAAUCGAAAAAUAAUAAUAAUAUUAAUAAAAACACGAAAAGCACUUUGACGGUUUGAAUAAUUAAAAACCUGUUAUGUAUUGUACGGAUAGCUAAUGAUAUCGUAGCUUUUUAUACUUUUUUCGGUUCUAUGUAUUUGAAUAAAUAAUGAUUCUAAAAAUGCAUUAAAUACAGCAGCUAAUAGGCGGUU